UAGUCCACGCCGUAAACGAUGAUAACUAGCUGUUCGGGCCCACAGGGCUUGAGUGGCGCAGCUAACGCAUUAAGUUAUCCGCCUGGGGAGUACGGUCGCGAGAUUAAAACUCAAAGGAAUUGACGGGGGCCUGCACAAGCGGUGGAGCAUGUGGUUUAAUUCGACGCAACGCGCAGAACCUUACCAGCUUUUAGACAUCCUGGUCGCGGAUUUGGGAGACCAUUUCCUUCAGUUCGGCUGGACCAGUGACAGGUGCUGCAUGGCUGUCGUCAGCUCGUGUCGUGAGAUGUUGGGUUAAGUCCCGCAACCGAGCGCAACCCUCAUCCUUAGUUGCCAGCAUUUAGUUGGGCACUCUAAGGAACUGCCGGUGAUAAGCCGGAGGAAGGUGGGGAUGACGUCAAGUCCUCAUGGCCCUUACAAGCUGGGCUACACACGUGCUACAAUGGUGGUGACAGUGGGCAGCGAGACGGCAACGUCGAGCUAAUCUCCAAAACCNUCU
rnacentral:rRNA from 1 species